GGAGUCCUGUAGUUUCUACCAUUCUCUGUCAAAUGGGCUAAUAAGCUGCUGGUCUCCAGAUUCUGACUUUUGAGCAGGCCUGGCCAACCUGUGGCUCCCCAGCUGUAAAACUACAUGUCCCAUCAUACCCUGACAGUUUUGCUAUUAGAGUACAUUCCCCAAUACUACCAGAGGAGGAAUCUGAGGAGUGGCCCGACACUCCUGCACUACCAUCUCCAUCGUUUUUCAUGGUGACAUCUGGCUCAUCCACCCCAACUAGUUCUCUGACCUAUUCACCAUGACCGGCGGACCCGGCUCAUCCCGUGCUACUCCGGAGAAUCUGCCAGUUGCUGUCAAUUAGCAAAUACAUUAUUAUAUCGAAUUGUUGAUAAUUUUUUAAAUUAAUUUAUUUUGUUUUGUUUUUGUUUAGUAUAAUAAUAAUUUAUAUUUGGCGGUG